rnacentral:misc_RNA from 1 species
UAAAUUAGAGUGUUCAAAGC